rnacentral:rRNA from 1 species
GGACCCGCACAAGCGGUGGAGCAUGUGGUUUAAUUCGAUGCAACGCGAAAAACCUUACCUACUCUUGACAUACUUGGAAGCUCUUGUAAUGAGAGUGUGCCUUUUGGAGCCAAGAUACAGGUGCUGCAUGGCUGUCGUCAGCUCGUGUCGUGAGAUGUUCCGUUAAGUCGGAUAACGAGCGCAACCCUUACCCUUAUUUGCCAGCGAUUCGGUCGGGAACUAUAAGGGGACUGCCGGUGAUAAACCGGAGGAAGGUGAGGACGACGUCAAGUCAUCAUGGCCCUUACGAGUAGGGCUACACACGUGCUACAAUGGGGAAUACAGACGGACGCUAAGCCGCGAGGUGGUGCUAAUCCUAGAAAGUUCUUCGUAGUCCGGAUUGGAGUCUGCAACUCGACUCCAUGAAGUCGGAAUCGCUAGUAAUCG